GUACGAAACGGGAAUUAAAAAGUGAUCAUCAGAGGUGGUUUUUGGUUUUCUCCACGGCAGCGCCGCCGGGCUUUACCCACAGUUUUCGACUCACCCACUGGUCCUUUUACUCUAAUUUUUCUAUGAGGGUGUUCAAAAUAAAAUAUUGAGUAAAUGAGAAAAUUUUUACCUUUUUUGGCAGUCAGAGGUGUCUCCGGCACGGCAGCGGGCGGUGCCCUUCUCCAACGACUGGUUCUUCUUCUCCAGUGGAGGGCUGGCAGUUAGGGUUAGAGUUCAGUGUAAAGUGAUAUACUAAUACCCCUUUAAUCUUGGC
rnacentral:lncRNA from 1 species